GGAUGUGAGAGUGUGUGUUUGUGUGCUGCGUGAAACACUUUCCAUACUGCGCCAUCCGCGGUGUUCUUUCUGCUUCAUCGGAGGUCGAAUUGUUAUCAUCUAAUUGUUUGGAUGUGUGCUGCUACCGCUAGCUGUUCUCCAAACCUCUUCAAAUUGCGACACUGUGUGCACAGGCGUUCAAGGUUCAAUUGAUCCUCGAGUACAAAGCCUUCAUACAACACCGCGGUUGAGGCGCGCCAAAUCUGAUGACAUCUUUCCUGAACCAAGCAGGCUGAACACGCGCACCACCACGGGCUCCAGCGCGGUGUGAAGAGGGAAGAAGAAAAGACAGUAUUGGAAACAGCCGCGCCAGGCUUCCAACCACCGUGUGUGUGUGUAUGUAAGUAUGUGAGAACACAUGUGUGAAUCCUCUUGUGGGAACUGCAAAAAGAAGAGAAUAAAGAGUGUGAAGCAGCUAGACUGCCGCAACCAAAUCAAGAGAGUGAAUUCUCAUUUCAAUCCGAAAAACUGGGAGAGAGUGAUGACA